UCGGGAAUUUUGGGCAAUGGGCGAAAGCCUGACCCAGCAACGCCGCGUGAAGGAUGAAGUAUUUCGGUAUGUAAACUUCGAAAGAAUAGGAAGAAUAAAUGACGGUACUAUUUAUAAGGUCCGGCUAACUACGUGCCAGCAGCCGCGGUAAUACGUAGGGACCAAGCGUUGUUCGGAUUUACUGGGCGUAAAGGGCGCGUAGGCGGCAAUUCAAGUCAUCUGUGAAAUCUCCGGGCUCAACCUGGGAACUGCAUUCAAAACUGACAAGCUAGAGUAUGGUAGAGGGUGGUGGAAUUUCCUGUGUAGCGGUGAAAUGCGUAGAUAUAGGAAGGAACACCAGUGGCGAAGGCGACCACCUGGACUGAUACUGACACUGAGGUGCGAAAGCGUGGGGAGCAAACAGGAUUAGAUACCCCCGUAGUCCCUGAGCGGGCUGGCAAGGCGCAU
rnacentral:rRNA from 1 species